UACAGAGGGGGCAAGCGUUAUUCGGAAUUACUGGGCGUAAAGGGCGCGUAGGCGGCCACCGCAAGUCGACUGUGAAAUCUCCGGGCUUAACCCGGAAAGGUCAGCCGAUACUGCGGGGCUAGAGUGCAGAAGGGGCAACUGGAAUUCUCGGUGUAGCGGUGAAAUGCGUAGAUAUCGAGAGGAACACCUGCGGCGAAGGCGGGUUGCUGGGCUGACACUGACGCUGAGGCGCGAAAGCUAGGGGAGCGAACGGG
rnacentral:rRNA from 1 species